rnacentral:rRNA from 1 species
ACRAACGACUCUCGGCAACGGAUAUCUCGGCUCACGCAUCGAUGAAGAACGUAGCAAAAUGCGAUACUUGGUGUGAAUUGCAGAAUCCCGUGAACCAUCGAGUUUUUGAACGCAAGUUGCGCCCGAAGCCAUUCGGCYGAGGGCACGUCUGCCUGGGCGUCAC